UGCAGUCGAACGAAGCAUAAAGAACGGAAGUUUUCGGAUGGAAGUACUUUAUGACUGAGUGGCGGACGGGUGAGUAACGCGUGGGUAACCUGCCUCAUACAGGGGGAUAACAGUUAGAAAUGACUGCUAAGACCGCAUAACCCGCUAAUGUCGCAUGACAUAGACGGAAAAUAUUCAUAGGUAUGAGAUGGACCCGCGUCUGAUUAGCUAGUUGGUAAGGUAAUGGCUUACCAAGGCGACGAUCAGUAGCCGACUUGAGAGAGUGACCGGCCACAUUGGGACUGAGACACGGCCCAAACUCCUACGGGAGGCAGCAGUGGGGAAUAUUGCACAAUGGGGAAACCCUGAUGCAGCGACGCCGCGUGAGUGAAGAAGUAUUUCGGUAUGUAAAGCUCUAUCAGCAGGGAAGAUAAUGACAGUACCUGACUAAGAAGCCCCGGCUAACUACGUGCCAGCAGCCGCGGUAAUACGUAGGGGGCAAGCGUUAUCCGGAUUUACUGGGUGUAAAGGGAGCGUAGGUGGUGCGGUAAGUCAGAUGUGAAAGCCCAGGGCUCAACCCUGGGAUUGCAUUUGAAACUAUCGAACUAGAGUGCAGGAGAGGUAAGUGGAAUUCCUAGUGUAGCGGUGAAAUGCGUAGAUAUUAGGAGGAACACCAGUGGCGAAGGCGGCUUACUGGACUGUAACUGACACUGAGGCUCG
rnacentral:rRNA from 1 species